GCGUGCGUGGUGGAAUUGGCAGACACACCAUCUUGAGGGGGUGGCGCCGCGAGGCAUACAGGUUCAAGUCCUGUCGCACGCACCA
rnacentral:tRNA from 1 species